AGACCUGCUCCCCUUUGGAGAUGAUUUUUCCAGUCGCUGAUCAGCAGAGCCAGGUCACCUCAUGCCAUUUCUGAACCUCAGGCAGGAUCUUAGUUUAGUGUAGCUAGGACAGUUUUUAAAAAAUUAUGUGGUGUGUGAGUGUGAGUGUGAGUGUGUGUGUACAAGCAGCACAGGUAUGGAGGACAGAGGACAAUCUGGGUACAAAAUUGAAGAAACUCCUUCCUUCUCCUUCUUUCCCAUCCAGAUGGAUCAUCAGUCAGAGAUACCCUGUGUCCUUAGGGGGGUUCCAAAAUAAUCAAGCCCCGUGUUGCUCCUGUGGUUGGUGAUCAUCUCCUGCAAUCAGGAAACAGGCAAAGAAGGAGGAAGACUGCCUCUGGCCCUUUAAGGUCGGCCUCCGGGCUCUGGCCUUCUCCACCGUGGCCCAGACCCUUUUUCCAGGCGGGGACCUUAGUUUAGGGCGGGCUCCGCCCAACAUCAAUCAAAGCUCUGCGACACGGCUGCUUAGCAACGGCAGAGGGCGGGAAUUUUGAACACUCUAGCACCGCCCCCAAUGCAAACGGACCAAUCGACAUCUAGCGUCCUCACCGCCUUCCCGUUGGAUGGCUAAGCAGACCCUUUCAGCCACUAAGGGGGCGGGGC
rnacentral:lncRNA from 1 species